AAAAAAAUAGAAACCUUGCUCGCUACAAGCUUUUCCUCGACGCUUCCUUUUCGCAAUCGGACGACCAACCUUCAUCUUCUUUCCAGCCGUUAGAUCCCCUCCACGUGGCAACUCCAGUUAGAUCACCAGUCAUCUUCUCCAGCUCCUCCGGUCAAGACGUGCUUCAUCUUUGGGUAAGUGUUGGAGCUUCUCUUCUCGAGCAGGAAGCCCUAGCUUU
rnacentral:lncRNA from 1 species